rnacentral:rRNA from 1 species
UUUUAUGGAGAGUUUGAUCCUGGCUCAGGAUGAACGCUGGCGGCGUGCCUAAUACAUGCAAGUCGAGCGAACAGACGAGGAGCUUGCUCCUCUGACGUUAGCGGCGGACGGGUGAGUAACACGUGGAUAACCUACCUAUAAGACUGGGAUAACUUCGGGAAACCGGAGCUAAUACCGGAUAACAUGUUGAACCGCAUGGUUCAACAGUGAAAGACGGUCUUGCUGUCACUUAUAGAUGGAUCCGCGCCGCAUUAGCUAGUUGGUAAGGUAACGGCUUACCAAGGCAACGAUGCGUAGCCGACCUGAGAGGGUGAUCGGCCACACUGGAACUGAGACACGGUCCAGACUCCUACGGGAGGCAGCAGUAGGGAAUCUUCCGCAAUGGGCGAAAGCCUGACGGAGCAACGCCGCGUGAGUGAAGAAGGUCUUCGGAUCGUAAAACUCUGUUAUUAGGGAAGAACAAAUGUGUAAGUAACUAUGCACGUCUUGACGGUACCUAAUCAGAAAGCCACGGCUAACUACGUGCCAGCAGCCGCGGUAAUACGUAGGUGGCAAGCGUUAUCCGGAAUUAUUGGGCGUAAAGCGCGCGUAGGCGGUUUUUUAAGUCUGAUGUGAAAGCCCACGGCUCAACCGUGGAGGGUCAUUGGAAACUGGAAAACUUGAGUGCAGAAGAGGAAAGUGGAAUUCCAUGUGUAGCGGUGAAAUGCGCAGAGAUAUGGAGGAACACCAGUGGCGAAGGCGACUUUCUGGUCUGUAACUGACGCUGAUGUGCGAAAGCGUGGGGAUCAAACAGGAUUAGAUACCCUGGUAGUCCACGCCGUAAACGAUGAGUGCUAAGUGUUAGGGGGUU